GUGCUCACUUCGGCAGCACAUUUACUAAGCUGGAACUGUACACAGAAGAUUAGCACGGCCCCUGCUUGAAAAUGGCACACAAAUUUAUGACAUGUGCUACAUUUUA
rfam:Otolemur garnettii contig090056, whole genome shotgun sequence.